rnacentral:lncRNA from 1 species
GGAAGAUGUCAGGGCAGGGAUGUCCUGCUCACCCCCAUCAGCUGUGACUGUCUGCCCAGUGUAACAGCUCUUAAAGCCCAUGUGCAGCAUGGGGUGCCUCCUCUCCUUGGACUUGCUUUGAGAGACUGGAAUUGUUCCAUGGAGAGAGACAAGGUGCUGCAGAGGACAUCCUUGGGAGUCUUCCUGGGACUUCCAUUGUCUGGAGGAAUCUAAGGAAAUCCACCCAGGCUAAGCUCAGGAAAAACAGGAGCAGGGAGCAGCUAUAAACCAGCCUGUUCAUCGUGGGCA